GUCCUUCUGGUGCUUCUAGCGGGGCUGCAGCAGGUGGAAGCAGCCGCUGCCGACAUGGACAACUUGAACUGGAAACCGUUCAUCUACGGCGGGAUGGCCUCGAUUGUCGCAGAAUUCGGGACAUUUCCUGUUGACCUGACUAAGACCAGGCUACAGGUUCAGGGUCAGUCCCAGUACACAGAGGUGCGCUACAGAGGAAUGUUUCACGCCCUCUUCAGGAUCGGCAAAGAGGAGGGCUGCCGGGCGCUCUACUCCGGGAUCUCUCCUGCUCUGCUCAGACAAGCCUCAUAUGGGACAAUCAAGAUCGGAACCUACAACUCUCUGAAGAGGCUGUUUGUCACUCAUCCAGAAGAUGAGACGAUGGUCAUCAACGUGUUCUGUGGCGUCGUUUCUGGCGUUCUGUCCUCCUCUCUGGCCAACCCCACCGACGUCCUCAAGAUCAGGAUGCAGGCGCAGGGCAGUCUGCUCCAAGGCAGCAUGAUGUCCAACUUCAUCAACAUCUACCAGACGGAGGGAACCAGAGGGCUGUGGAGAGGUGUCAUACCCACAGCACAGCGAGCAGCCAUUGUUGUUGGGGUGGAACUUCCUGUUUAUGACAUCACCAAGAAGCACCUCCUCCACUCAGGCGUGAUGGGAGACACCAUUUUGACACACUUUAUUUCCAGUUUCACGUGCGGGUUGGCGGGAGCUCUGGCGUCCAACCCCGUGGACGUGGUGCGGACCCGGAUGAUGAACCAGCGGGUUUCGUCGGGAGCCCCCAUGUACAAAGGGACGCUGGACGGACUGAUGCAGACGUGGAAGAACGAGGGUUUCUUCGCUCUCUAUAAGGGAUUCUGGCCAAACUGGCUCAGACUGGGGCCUUGGAACAUCAUCUUCUUCAUCACCUUCGAGCAGCUGAAGAAGCUCCCAUUCUAAAGCGUGCAGGAUGUGGGACUUCACUGGUCUGUCAAACUGUGUCGGGGGGGGGGGGACCUGGAGUUUCAGCACCUGUAUAAUCACACUCCCUUUUCAAAUCCAUACCAAUGAUACAGCCGAGUAUCCUCCAUCCGCUCAUGCUCAUCCAAAUCUUCUGUUAUCUUAUUCUUUUGCAAAGUGUUUUAUUUAUUGUGACUGGUUCUUUUUUUUUGUUUUUUUGAAGGACAUUUUUAAAGACUGUCGCUUCGAUGAUCACUCCCACCCUCAGCCUCCUUCGACACUCCCCAGGCAGCUAGGUUUGGUUGUAGCAAAAGAUUUUAAACUUUGAGAGAGUAGGUUUUUUGUUUGUUUUUCUUACUUGAUCCUAAAGGAAACACAGGAGCUCAGUGGAUCAGGUGAGCUCGGCUCAGUGGAUCAGGUGAGCUCGGCUCAGUGGAUCAGGUGAGCUCGGCCCUCUUUACAUUUCCUCUAGAUUCCUACGCAGAUCUGGAGGAAAGAAAAACAUUGGAAAUUAAUUUAUUUUUAGUAACGAUAGGAGUUGCUGAAUGUCACUCGAGACAUGCAUGGCUAGUUUGUAAUUAUUUUUUUUUUUAAAGGAACAGAAAAUGAACUUUCAAAAUGGAGGAUGUGUAGGAACCCUGUGUUUUUUUAUGUCAUAGGCACUGCAUGAAAUGUGUUGAAUGUUGAGGGAUCGCAUGGAAGGACAACAAACUGUUACAGCGUGUUAAAGAGGCGGAUUUAAGACAAAGUUCAUCGUGACAGAAAAGAGGAGAUAAUCCUCUUCACUCCAAAAUGUAUCUCCGUAAAGAAAGGUCAGGGUCUUUGUUUCAUUAAAGUGUCAAAAAUGGGUCAGAAAGCCCCUCAAAAUGUCACAGUGCAGUUUCUGACUUUGGGCCAUUUGACAGGAAAUCUCUCAGAACUGCCGCCUGAUUUUAAAGCUGAGGAAAACAGUAUUUAUUGUUUGUUUUUUAUUGUUGUGUUCAUAACGAGCUACUGAAGUUUUACUUGAAACCAAUCAGGAAUCUCAACCAAAGCAUUUAAUGACAACAGUGAGACACACACACACACACACACACGACCAAAACAAAAAUGUUAACUCUCCUUUUAAAUAACUUUCAAGGAAACACUCCAGGGACCUGUUUCAGAAAUAAGGGUUCAACAAACUCUCAGUCUAACCCCGGGGCUCUGAGUUGAUUUAACCCUCAGGAGGGAAACUCUGAGUUUCUGCUUUCAGAACAGACCCGAUUACGUUCACAGACUCGGUUACCAUAGUAACAGACUCAGAGCUAAAGUUACCUCUCUCUCUGGAACGGGCUUGAGUUACCCCAUUUCUGAAACGUCAAACCCAGAGUUUCCCUCAUUUCAGGGUUAACUGACUCGGGUCUUUCUGAAACGGGCCUCAGGUCGGACACCGUUAAUUAAAGUGUUUGUUUUUGCUUUAGACAUUAGUUAUGUGUUGCACCUCCGGUCUGCUGCUGAAGUAGGAACAAAUGGUUUGCACACAAAGUGAUGUUCCAUAAUUUCAAUAUCGACUGAAAUAAAUCAAUCCAGUAUGUCUUGAAAAGCCUCGUUCAGACUCACUCAGAGUGGGAUGUAUUUGUUACACGCAUUGUAGAAAGUGGAUGUAAACCCAGUUCAAAAAUAGAGCUUCUGCAGUGGUACACCAAUUAAAGUGUAGGGACCAGAGGAGAGUUUCUUUAUGCUUUAUUUCUCAACAACUUGAUUCCACUUGUGACAAGCAUAGUAGUCAGAUGAUUUAACUCUUAAAGAAAAAGGAAAACAAUAAUCAGGGCCACACCAGUAAAUCAAAUUACGUAGUAACUAAACAAUCUCAUAAAUGCACAAAAUCAUAUAUUUACACAUCAAGUACUCACUCAAACAAUGCAUCUAUCAGAGUCACAAUAGAGUUGUCAGCCUGUCAUGCAGCUCAGCAGUGUGAAGCAAACAGAAGGAGUGAGCAUGGCCUGCUGCAGGUGUGGCCUGAUUGGUUAAGACUAGGCUUAAAGGGGAAGUGGGAUCUGCAACACGCAUGUUCAAGUCCACAUAGGAUGCCUUGCUGUGCUUUUUAAACUUUUACAUUUAUCUGAAGAGAACGCUUAAGGUCAUCGCACACUCAGUCCAUUUUUUUCAUUCAAGACUGAAACUUUCGUCCGUCAUUUUUUUUUCUGUAACAUUUUCCUGCGUGUGUGCGUGUGCGUGUGUGUGUGUGUCCACAGUGAAAGUCCUCGCUCUUGUCUUGUUGUCAUGGCGAUCUCGCUGCACGAUGAGUACGACACGUUUUGUCUCAUACUGUGAAUUUUGCAAUUCAUGGAAAUGUAAACGCAGCGGACUCAAAGUGCUAGUUCUCCGUGUUUAAUGUUGUUGGGGUUUGUUCGGAUUACGGAUCCAAAAAACACCAGAAAAAAACGGACUCGGUGUGCAAAGACCAUAAGAAGGGUUUGUUUGCAGCUACUUUGAGUCUGUGUUUAAGUUGUUGUGCAGGAGGAAAUCUUUGCUGGAACUUAUCCAAAAGUCAGAAGAAGUCGUCACACUGACAAAGUGAAGAUCUGCAGAAAGCAGACUCGUGAAAAGAAACGAUGGCAUCUUUCACACAGCAAGAAAGUGGUGAUGUGGAAAUGUUUGAAUAUCCAGCAGGGCGAGCUAAAAACUGCAAAACAGACCAUUAGCAUAGCAUAGCAUAUCGAAUGAAAUGGAUGUCCAGUCUUUCACUUUUUAAGGUUUAAAGUUAAUUACCAUCUUGUAUUGAGAUUGUUUCAUCGUCCAGCCCUCAAUGUUUGAGUUUUGUAGAUCACAAUCACCCAACUCUGUCCACGUAAAACAGACCAAAUGCUUUUUUUAUAUCACUUAUUAUAUUUCUUUAUGGGAAGCCAUUAACUUAAAGGAGCAGUAUGUAACUCUGCCCCCUAGUGUUUAAAAUGGGUACUGCAGUCUAAAUUCUAAACAUCAUAUAGAGCUGUCUCUCCCCCCCCCCCCCCCCCUCUCUAGAGUCCAUGCUCACACAGGUCACCAUGUGGUGGACUCUGAAGCUUCAGUGUUUAUCCAGCUCUGCAUGGGUCUGUAAACCUUUCUGUGUUCUAACCUCUCUCCAUUUUUCAAAAGCAUCUCCAAUAUUGAUCCUAGUUUGAGCACGUUUCUGCUCGUGGAGCUUAUUAGAAACAUGCAGAGGCUUUUUAGGUCGGGUACAAUCACUUCUAUCUGAACCACUUCUCUUGCCCGCUUCCAUCGCUGCAACACCUGUUGACCUGAUAACUGCUCUCAUAUCUGGCAAACCGAGGGGCGUCCAAAACGGCCGUGUGGGGGGCGUGUCUUAAAAGCGCCUACCUUCUCUGGUCCAAACAAAUCCAGAGCAUUCAGAAGCAGAAUCUAAAGUUAGAAGGAGGACAUACUGGCUGCUGCAUUGUUGUCAGAGAAGCCAGCACUUCAACAUGUUUCCUUAAUGAUCAGAUAGUAACUUUAUCAUCUCAGUAAAUAUCGUACAGAUUGGUCCUUUAACAGAAAUCCUUCUUAUACAUGAAUCUAUAAAUUGUGUGCAAUAAGUAAUCGAAUAGAAGUGGAGUUAUGAGCUCACUUUCUCGUCCACUUGCACCUCCAAACCUUUUUUUAUCUUUAUCUUAUCUUAUAUUUUAGUAGCCCCUCCCCCAGGUGGGUGACACUCCCACAGCUAGGUGUUUGUUCUGCCCUCUGAGUCUGCCUUCUCACCGUAAACAAUAGGACAUGGAGCGAGAAAGACCGAGACACCCAAGCCCUUCCAGAGAGGGGGCGUGGUCAGACACAGCUCAUUUACAUAUUUAAAGGUACAGACACAGAAACAGCCUGUUCUGAGCAGGGCUGAAAUAGAGGGGUUUAUAGACAUGAUCAAAUACAGGAUCAGAGUGGAUUUAGAACAAGAAACUUCACACACAUGUUUUGAGGAGCUCUGACACUUAUUUAAAGUGUUUAAAAAAACAGGAUAAUGUUUUGCCACCAGAAGAAGAUUGUUUUAGGAAACUGUAAACCCUCUCAUAGUAAAGUGGGAUUUUUGUACUUUGUCUUCAGCUCUUGAUUGUGUCACUCUUAGACUGACCGCAGGAAAGACGUCACAGGGCACCUUUGAGAGUUCGCCGUGACAACAGUGAUUAUUUCCUCGCUUAUAUGAAAUAUGAAUAAAUAUGUUUAUGGUUUAAAAGCAGCAGUAGAGCUCCAUCUGCUAAAGAAAGUUAACGUCUGUUUUUAAAGGUCACUUCUUCCUCUUCAAAGGCGUCAAUCUGAAUAUUAAUAUGUUCUGAUUUUAAAGUAAUUUGAGGGUUAAACUUUUUAUUGACUGAAAAACGUGUGUGUGAGUCGGAAAGAAGAGAAAAAUCGAUGAAUACUUUUGUACAUGUUCCCUUCACUUCCUCUUAUUAUUUGCACUUUGGUGUAUCGACGCUGUCUAUAAACAAUCGUACUUUCUUCUCUUGAUGAUUUUUUUAUGGUGGAUUUUUUUUCCCUCUUUGACAGAAUGGGUUUGGCUUUGUAUAAAUUAAGUGUUCACUGAAAUAAAAUAUACGCUGUGUUUGCAUCUG